GUACAAUUUAGCACCAAAAAUAUUUCAAUGUUUAAAACUGCGAUGUAAAAAUUAAACUGCUGGGUCAUAGCAGUAUUUUACGGUUCUAUUUGACUCUCAGAUAGGAAGUGCAGACCCCAAAUGUACUAUUUAGCACACAAAAAAUUUGAAUGUUUAAAACUGUGAUGUAACCACAGUAUUUGACGGUUCUAUAUGACUCUCAGAUAUGAAGUGCACCGCAGGCC